rnacentral:rRNA from 1 species
UGGGGAAUCUUCCGCAAUGGACGAAAGUCUGACGGAGCAACGCCGCGUGUAUGAUGAAGGUCUUCGGAUUGUAAAGUACUGUCAUUGGGGAAGAACGGUUUUCUUGAAAAGAUUGAGAAGACAUGACGGUACCCAAGGAGGAAGCCCCGGCUAACUACGUGCCAGCAGCCGCGGUAAUACGUAGGGGGCAAGCGUUGUCCGGAAUUAUUGGGCGUAAAGGGCGCGUAGGCGGGCCUUUAAGUCCGGUGUGAAAGAUCAGGGCUCAACCCUGAGAGUGCAUCGGAAACUGGAGGCCUUGAGGACAGGAGAGGAAAGUGGAAUUCCACGUGUAGCGGUGAAAUGCGUAGAUAUGUGGAGGAACACCAGUGGCGAAGGCGACUUUCUGGACUGUAACUGACGCUGAGGCGCGAAAGCGUGGGGAGCAAACAGGAUUAGAUACCCUGGUAGUCCACGCCCGUAAACUGAUGAGUGCUAGGUGUAGAGGGUAUCGACCCCUUCUGUGCCGCAGUUAACACAAUAAGCACUCCGCCUGGGGAGUACGGCCGCAA